UAAAGACAGAGUGAGGAGCUGACAUUUCUCAGCUUGAUGCAGAAGCACAGGAGCACAAAAAAAAACACAGGAAAAUGUAGCUACUCCACUGGACUCUAUCUGGUGCCAGGUCCCUGUACAGAUAGCUUAAAAUGGCAUUCUCUGGCUGAAAGAUGUCUGUGCAGCUGUUUGGAAAAGAAGUCUUGAACUGACGAAGUACAGCUAUGGGAUAAAUGACAAUAACUCAGGAAGACACCAGGUGAUAAGUGAUGAGGAAGUAUGUUUGCCCUGUUUGUACCUGAAAUGUGCCAGGAUCAGAGCUGUCUGUGGGUCUGAAUGAUAGCACACAACUUAGAACUUAUGAAUACCUUUCUGUAAGGAUAUAAGCAGUUUAGAAGCCUGAGUUGUGAUAGAUAUCUUGUGGUAUGCUUCUCACAAGCACCUAAAAUAUAAUCUGCCACUUUUUUUUUUUUUUUAAUUAAGCAUAUGAUACUCUUGUAUUUGUAUGGAAGUAUAUAAGCCUUAAAAAUGCUUCAACUUAAUAUUUCUUGUACCUCCUCGUCAUGCAGAUUGCAUUCAUAUGUUGUGGAAAAUAAUUAGCAUCAACAUAUGUGCUCAUGCAGUAAGCAUUGCAUGCAGAAAGAUGUUAUUAGAACAGUGUGAAAAUGGCCCCACUUAAAACAAGCCAAACCAUCAUCGUUUCUUCCUAGAGAACUGCAUCAAAUCAAGCUUCAUGUAAAUGCGAUUUUGCCUGUGGAGGAAGCUAAUAUAAAGUAGCCAAAACAGAACAGGAAAACCAGGAGCAAAUUAGUUCCUAAUAUAUUUUCAGUAGAAUCAGCAGAUGUUGAAUACAAUUCACAUUAUCAUAUAGAUAAUAUGAAAAUGACAUUUUUUAAAAUGUUACCGAUCACUUUUAAUAAAGCAAUUAUUAAAUGCCAUGUUUCCUAAUGAGUUAACUGCAAUCUUGUAAAAGCAUUUGUCUGAGAGCUUUUUUUGAAGUCUUGCGAGACCUUCAGCAAAGUGGCACACCUGUUUAGCACUCAAGCAUUUUAAUGUGAUACCAUGUGCCAUAGUCUACUCUCACUGAUGCUGAGAAAUGUAAUAGGAAAGCAGCAUGCCAAAAUACCUUUCCUUCUGCUCUGUAAGGAUUUGUCAUGCAGCUAGGAACUGCUAGUUACAGGUGCUGCACCUUAAGAAAAUAUUCCCCUAUUUUUGUUCUCAGAUGAACAAGUAUUGUUUGAAUUGUAACAUAGGGCAGAAAAAUUUCCAUAUAAAAAAAUGAACUGAUGUCAGCACUGACAAGAAUAAAUUUAAAAAUUUACUCCUGAAGAAUUUUGUUGUAAUACACUGACUUCUGUCCAAGAACAACAUGUAUUCAUCCUGGGCAAAUUAUUUUGAGUGAGAAUGGUUAUUCUUUCAAUAUUCCUUUUAAAAAAACCCAACUUUAAAAUACAGCUACUGUUCCUAAAAUUAAGUUACAUGCUUUCUUCAGAAUGCAUUGACUAGGCUGUAGCAUUUGACUUUCCUGUGUCACUGAUGUCUUUAAAGGGCCUUUUCCUUUUUUUGUUGUGACUUGAGAUUCUAGGAAUAACCAGAGCCAAUUGUGGGAAAAAAUACUCUCAAAUUUUAAUGAAAAAGGCUUAUUUUUAUUGUCUACAACUACUCAGUCUGAAGCAACAAGCUUCUUUGUAGAGAUCAAGAACAUGAAGGUACAUCUAGACCAUCAGAUGAUUUUGCACUGAUUUUACGGUGCAAAGAGAACAGCAAAGGAACAAGGCAUGUGAAAACCAAAAGUCCUUGUGUAGGAGUGGUGUUUGAGGAGCAAAACUUCAUUAGCUUUCCAGCUGAAACCAGUUCCAGCUAACACUGUGAUCCAAAAGGCAACCAAGCAAAGAACAAAGCUGUGACUAGCACUUGCUGAGACAGCUGGCUUAACCUUCUAUUUAUUUUGUUUACAUACUUCUUCAGUCAUAUUAUCAGACAGAUAAUGUCAGAUCAGGGUAUUAGUGCUGUGAGCUUCAGUGCCUGUGCUCUGCCAUCGACCCUGUCAACACUGGAAGAUGUGAGCACAGCCAGCCAUGUGGAGAGUCUGGCUCAGACAGGAUUCAGCAUAUCCAAUUGCAGCAACUGGGAAAUGCCACCCACUGUAGACAUAUUUCUUAUCCGUCUCUGUGAUGUCCUGCUAAAGCACCUAGUUCCUGGACAGCUGCAGAUACAGACUGACUACAGGUCACAGAAGUUGUCAACUCUUUGUGUGCUCAGCCUACAGAACAAGAGAGACCAAGAAGAAGACAAUUUGACUGCAAAAACAUAUGAUCUCAAAUCAGACACAGAGGGCUUGUAGAAUGGUGCUGAUUCCGUGAACAUGGUAUGAAAAUUGUCCUUCAACUUUCCUGCAGAUUUAGGUAAGCAUUUGCACAGAACAUUGCAUUCUGGUCCCUGUUUUGCAGCUAAGCAUUUUAGAGAAUAGAUCACUUCCUUACAACUGAAGAUUUAAGCAACUUAGUAUUUUCCUUCAUAAAUUGGGAAUUCCUUUUAAUGGUUAAUCUGCUUUGGGAACAGGGGAAUAGUGUGUGUGCAUGUCUGUUUCUGUAUGUUGUUCAAAGUAUUUUAACAAGAUACUGCUUUUUCCUUUUUAUUUGUCCUUUUUUUUUUUUUUUUUUUUGGGUCCUUCUGGUGAUUUUCCUCUGUUUCUCCAGAAGUGGUCAAUGUAAGAUGCUUCAUACCUCCCUAAAUGUAAUUUUAAGCUGAGCUCAUAACAGACUGGCAGCAACCUCAAUAUUUAACUAGUUACUUGGGACCAAAUUCUAUACUCCCAUAGCCUUUGUCAAAACCCCUCCAACUGAAAGCAGAAAAAAAUUGGCAUGUUGCCAUGAGAGAAUUGAAGAGCAAAGAACAUAGGCACAAUGAUUCAGAUUAAUCUCUGCAUUAACUUCAAUGGAGCACUAUCUGGAACAUAUUAAAACAAUUUUACUGUGUGAUCUGUCAGUUAUGUGCUGUCAUUCUAGAGAGAGGCUCUUUAAUGUCCUGUCCUCCAGGUUAAAUGAAUUUAGCAAUAGCAAACUGGCAGAUCACAGGAGUUAGAGGUUUGUAUGAUGGGAGUCUGCAGCUUUUGGUGCUAGGCCCAAUGCUUUUCCAUGUUUUUAACGAUGAGCUGAAAAUACAGCUCAUCGUUAAAUAACGACGAGCUGAAAAUACAGCUCAUCGUUAAAUAACGACUGCUGUUAAUAAAAUUUGUAGAUAACAAAAGGAACAGAGAUUCUUCUAGAGAAAUACAAAAGUUCAGUUUCCACUCAGGAACUGGAACACAAGAUUAGAAAUAAGCAUGCUUCUCUUAAUUAUAUUACUACAUAGUAACUAUUACAUGCAAGUAUAUUGUUAUUAAAUAUUAAAUGUGUUAAACUGUCGUGAGCUCUGGUGAUCUUCAUAUAUGCUCACUCUGUCCACAAGGCACAUGGCUGUUGAGGCUUUAUCCUUUCGGUCAGACAGGAUUAGAUGAGACCACCUGUUCAGCCCAAACAGACCCACCUGUGUGUGCCUCACCUUUCAAGGCAAUCUCUGCAGUUUCGGAAACUUGUCUGAUUUGAGCUGUUUUUGUUUACAGUUUUGUUGAGCUUAUGGCUUGGGAGCAUUGCCUCAGUAACUUUAAAGGAAGUGAUGUUUUGGUUCAUUCAUUGUCACAUAGAAACUGGGAGCAACAGAGACAAAUAAGCUGUUAUGAUCAGAGCAGAUUUGAAGUGGAUUUGAGUUACAUGUGAAAAAAAAAGGUGAAUUCCUGACCUUCCUGACCUUGAAAUUUGUGAGUGUCUGGCUACUCACUCUGCCAGGGUAUCACCUUCUUUCUGAAACUAUCAAUUUCAUCUAAUCACCUUACACAAGCUAUACAUUUCUCAGUUAAAAAAAAAUCACAUACUGCAAUUAAAAGGAAAAAAAAAAUCCAUUCCAAAUAUCUGCUUUGCUGUAGAAAAGAUAAACCUUUCCAGAACCUAUGAAAAAUCCCUACCAACAUGAAUGUCAAUCCCCCACCUCCUCAUCCCUGUGAUUCAUCUCCUGCCUCAUUUAUUCUGCACUUUCCUUGUACUGGCAGCAACACUGGCCCCCAAACAGGCAACCUUCAAUAAGGAAAGAUAAAACAAUUCACUGAGAUGAAUACCAUUUGCCUAAGAGGCAGAUGCAGCAUCAUUAUCAGUUGUUUUGCUGAGGUUUAUGCUGACAUCCUUACUAUCAUUCCCAGCUUGUUAGCAGCUUGUGGCACUGCAAAACUAGCUCUGGCUGUGCAGGUCUGCAACUCAGGUGUUGUCCAGGUGAGAUGGGAUGCCCGUACCACAUCCCCAGCGGCAGUGGGAAGCAGCACCAGGUGCUCUUCUACCAUUUCAGUCUUGCCUGGAUCAUAGAAUCAUAGAAUGGUUUGGGCUGGAAGGGACAUCUACUUCCAGCCCCCCUGCUAUAGGUAGGGACA